ensembl:lncRNA
CUAUAGAACAGUACAAAACAAGAGAACACGCAUGGUUAAUGUCCUGAUUUUUUUUUAAUGACGAGUCCGCUCAAGUUUCUUCAACUGUCUUCUGACUGUGAUUAGAGUGAUGUUGAGCAGUGAUGCCAGCCGAUUCCAGAUUGCCAAUCGCUCUUCAUCUUCAACCAUCAGUUAUGAAACUCUAUCGUCUGAGGCUGCAGCAAUAUCCCUUGACUGUACCUGAAACGAGACAAGAUCACCGGUGAAGUGCAACCGGCGGAACGGAAGAAGAAUUCCUCAAUACCGUCAGACUGUCAGAAUAGUUACCUAUGUGGGACUGAUACCAGUGUGGAAGAGCUGGUCACCUUUAAAGGACUUGGUGAAUGAUUACAUUGACAAUAGGAAGAUUGAAUAUUAUUGUCUUGCAGACAAGUGAAACAUGUUUGAAAUUAUUCUCCUUGUGAAUUUCCUCCUAAUACAGGAUGUGGAUUGUGUUUCCAUUUCUAACACAGAGAAGGAUGAGGGACACUCGGGCGUCAAUACAUUUCUGGUGCUUUCUUUACACUAUGCCACGGUAGUCAAAGUAGUUGUGGGGUUUGUACGCAUGCGGAAUAUCCCAUGUCUGUUGAAUUGACUCUCAGUAAUAACACUAUGACUACUUUUUAUGCCAAUAACCUUCAGUAAUAUCAUCAAUAAUGCUACGAUAGGUCCUAAUGGGACUUACUUUAUCUGUGGAUCCUAUGCCUAUUCCUGGUUACCAAAGUUGUGACGAGGGUCGUGUUAUUUGGGAUAUGUUGUACCCCAAGUAAGAUAUUCUGUGAAUUCACCUUUUUCACACCGUGAUAAACAUGUGAUUACAGAAACAGAGAUUCUUUGCGAUUGCUUUUCCUUCUUAUGGUAUUUCUAAAAUAACACGGGAAGUUAUUAAUAUGGCUAACUCUUUGGAUAUCCUAGCUAAUAGUACAACUGAGAGUCUUGAGUUAAUUACAGCUGAGAUGGUUGCCAUUCGGACUGUGGCAAUGGAAAAUUGUUUGGCCCUUGACUAUCUUCUCUCCGCAAGAGGGGUUACAUGUGCUGUCAUUGGUGCUGAAUGCUGUACUUACAUUCCUGAUGAAAUAACUAACCUAAUCCAAAAGAUCAGGAUUAUGAUAUUCAGAUGAUCCAGAUGAUUUAGGCUUAGUUACGUGGUUGUCUUCCACAUUCUGUACAUGGGGAAGAUUUUUGGUGGGCAUGAUACUUCCAAUAGUGGGAGCUGUGGUUAUUUUUCUUAUCCUCAUCCAGGUUAUCAAGUGUGCUAUUGCCCGAUGUUUGUCUGCUAAAAUCAGACUGUUACGUGAUAGGGGAUAUCAAAAGAUUCAUCAACCGUGUCCUUUUUGAGAUGGGUGUCAGUGGUGUUCACAAGAACGUGGUUGGGAUCAUAAGGGUCUUCAUCACACCAAGCCUCAUGAUUGUGUGCCUGUGGUAACUGUCUUUGGGGCUGUAACCAAAUCAAAUCAAAUCAAACGUAUUUAUAUAGCCCUUCGUACAUCAGCUGAUAUCUCAAAGUGCUGUACAGAAACCCAGCCUAAACCCCCAAACAGCAAGCAAUGCAGGUGUAGAAGCACGGUGGCUAGGAAAAACUCCCUAGAAAGGACAAAACCUAUGAAGAAACAUAGAGAGGAACCAGGCUAUGUGGGGUGGCCAGUCCUCUUCUGGCUGUGCCGGGUGGAGAUUAUAACAGAACAUGGCCAAGAUGUUCAAAUGUUCAUAAAUGACCAGCAUGGUUGAAUAAUAAUAAGGCAGAACAGUUGAAACUGGAGCAGCAGCACGGUCAGGUGGACUGGGGACAGCAAGGAGUCAUCAUGUCAGGUAGUCCUGGGGCAUGGUCCUAGGGCUCAGGUCCUCUGAGAGAGAGAAAGAAAGAGAGAAUUAGAGAGAGCAUAUGUGGGGUGGACAGUCCUCUUCUGGCUGUGCCGGGUGGAGAUUAUAACAGAACAUGGCCAAGAUGUUCAAAUGUUCAUAAAUGACCAGCAUGGUCGAAUAAUAAUAAGGCAGAACAGUUGAAACUGGAGCAGCAGCACGGUCAGGUGGACUGGGGACAGCAAGGAGUCAUCAUGUCAGGUAGUCCUGGGGCAUGGUCCUAGGGCUCAGGUCCUCCGAGAGAGAGAAAGAAAGAGAGAAUUAAAGAACGCACACUUAGAUUCACACAGGACACCGAAUAGGACAGGAGAAGUACUCCAGAUAUAACAAACUGACCCUAGCCCCCCGACACAUAAACUCCUGCAGCAUAAAUACUGGAGGCUGAGACAGGAGGGGUCAGGAGACACUGUGGCCCCAUCCGAGGACACCCCCGGACAGGGCCAAACAGGAAGGAUAUAACCCCACCCACUUUGCCAAAGCACAGCCCCCACACCACUAGAGGGAUAUCUUCAACCACCAACUUACCAUCCUGAGAUGGUAACGAACCAUGCUCUUUCAGGUGUGUUGUAUCACACCUGUUAAGACCCCUUUUCUAUAACUUUUUGUGAAAUCUAUUUCUUAUUGCAAUGAGUAAAAUAUGCCCUUUGUGUUUUAUAGAAAUGCAAAGUGUUUAUUGUGAAUAAAUUAAUGCUUACUGAUAA